GGAUUACCCUGAGUACAUUGUCACAGGGAGGGAAAGAUGAUAGCAUAUGACUUUUCCAUUGAUCCUGUUCAAGUUAUAGUUCAGCUCCUCCAGCUAUACACUAACAGUUUUACUUAAUUUUACAUAAGGUUAUUAUAGCUAAAGCCUUUACUGUUUAGAUCCUCCAGCUAUACACUAACAGAGCUUUUAAUUUUGCAUAAUGUUGUUACAGCUAAAGCCUUUGCUGUCAGGGCAAAACAUUACAUUCCAAUAAAAAGGAAAGGUGAAUGACGAAGAAAUUGAAAGCCUCCAGUUCAAGUUUUUCCUCUGGGUCCUGUGUGUUCUGGUUAAAUAUUGUAAAAUAUCUCUGUAGUGAGCUGAAACAGGGACUUCUUGAACAGCUGAAAGAUUGUUUUAGACGGAGAAAAAGAAAAAUUUGGUAACACUAAUAACAGAGGAUAACCAGACACAUGAAAACUAGAACUCAAUUUUCCAGUAUUCCUUGCAGCUAGAGGAGAUCUUGUGAACUACUUCUGGCCAAUAAGGUAAGAGAGCAAACUUUCACAAGAUAUUUGAUAAAGAGUCUAGGCAGGGGAAGAGAAUAUCUAUCUCCUUGAACUUGUCUGUGAUGCCAGAAUUGUGGCUCUCAUCUUGUGACCAUAACAGAACAAGCAUCAGGAUGCAAAGCUAAUACGCUGAGAUUAGUGGAGCAGAAUUACAGAAUGAAACUGAGUCCUUGAUAACAUUUUUGAGCAGCUAAAACAAUACCAGCAAUAGCCUACCUAUGAUCUUGUCAUGUGAGAAAAAUAAAACCCUACUUGUUUGCAAAACAAACAAACAAAAGUACUGUGAUAUACUGUGAUAUUUCUUAAGUGAAAAAAGGUAAAAAAAAAUUCUAAGAGAUUUGCAAAAAUUAGAGAAUGAGUGAAUUUUAAUUAUAAGGGUAAUCAGAAGCUAACAACUCUGAUUAAAAAGGCAGUAGCAAGCUACUGGGAGAACUGAAGAAUGCAGUCAGUUCGAUAGCUGGAUUUCACGUUGAACUUGUUCCUGUUUCUGCAACUCCAAAUUGGAAGUCUCAAACAAAUCAUUGCUUAUCCUUCUGGGGACCAGUAAAAAACCAAAAAGCUGACAAAAAAACCCCAGCAAGGUAAGCUCUGUGAAUGUUGUCUCUGGAUUUUCUGCUGUGCACAGUGGGAGCUCUUUACUACUUUGCUGAGAGGCUGAUUCUAACUUAAUUUUCAGAAGCUAGCUUUGGAAAGCAUUAACCUGUACCCAGCUCCCUCACUGCACACACCAGCCUUCAUGGGAAUGUGCUGUUGUGCACUUGACAUCUUCUACAAGGAAGCGGCUGUUCUCCCACAGAGCUCUCAUUGAUUUGAAUUUGGACUUAGAUUUUCUGAAGCGGCUCCCCAUAACAGUAGGAGAUACAUAUUAGGGAAACCAGAUGCCAUAAGCUAAGCGUGCCCUGCAAUUCUAUUCAACACUUCGGGGACACCUUCCUUUCCUUCAGAACGCCCCUCUGUGACAGCCACCAGAAGCCUCCCCAAGAAAAGCAGAUGCUGAGCAAAAAAAGGUGUUCACUGCUGGUUGGAACGAUGAGAUCCCUCCAUUGACCAACACCAUGAAUACAAGAAGACGCAGAUAUAAGGACAUAUUGUGAAUUUUCAAUACACCAGGAAUAAAGAGAAAAAUCUUGAGAUUCCAGAGAGAAAAGAGGGUCACGUAGAAAGAAUCAGAAAUCAGAAUGGGAUUGAACUUCUCAAAAGUAAUGGUGGAAGUCAUAAGAAAGUGGAGCGGUACCUUCAGGAUUCUGCAGGAAAUAAAAAAAAAAUUUUAAUCUGGAACUUAAUCCAGUAUAAAGAUGAAAUAAAGGUGUUUUCAGACAGCCACA